GACGAACGCUGGCGGCGUGCUUAACACAUGCAAGUCGAACGAUGAAGCGGGUGCUUGCCCUCGUGGAUUAGUGGCGAACGGGCGAGUAACACGUGAGUAACCUGUCCUUUUCUUUGGGAUAACGGCUGGAAACGGCUGCUAAUACUGGAUAUUCAGGCUGCAUCGCAUGGUGUGGUUUGGAAAGGUUUUUUCUGGGAUUGGGUGGGCUCGCGGCCGAUCAGCUUGUUGGUGGGGUGAUGGCUUACCAAGGCUUUGACGGGUAGCCGGCCUGAGAGGGUGGGCGGUCGCACUGGGACUGAGAUACGGCCCAGACUCCUACGGGAGGCAGCAGUGGGGAAUAUUGCACAAUGGACGAAAGUUUGAUGCAGCGACGCCGCGUGGAGGGUGUAGGCCUUCGGGUUGUGAACUCCUUUUUCUCGCGAAAAAGGCACAGUUUUGGCUGUGUUGAUGGUAGUGGGGGAAGAAGCGCCGGCUAACUACGUG
rnacentral:rRNA from 1 species